GACGUAGGGGGCGAGCGUUGUCCGGAUUUAUUGGGCGUAAAGCGUGCGUAGGCGGCUGCGCAAGUCGGUUGUGAAACCCCGGGGCUCAACCCCGGAACUGCAUCCGAUACUGCCAUGCUAGAGGAUUGGAGAGGUAGCUGGAAUUCUUGGUGUAGCAGUGAAAUGCGUGGAUAUCAAGAGGAACACUCGUGGCGAAAGCGAGCUACUGGACAAUUCCUGACGCUGAGGCUCGAAGGCUAGGGUAGCGAAAGGG
rnacentral:rRNA from 1 species